rnacentral:lncRNA from 1 species
UUUUGACAGAGACAGAGCACAAGCAGGGGAAGUAGGAGAGGGAGUCUGACCCCACAGUUCUGGGAUCAUGACCUGAGCCAAAGGUAGAUGCUUAACUGACUAAGCCACUUAGGUCCCCCAAGGUGAGGGUUUAAAGAUGGGGUUUCAGUUGACACUAUGAGGGCAACUUUUCUUUUUCUUUCCCUUUUUGUUUUUUGAGGCCAUCCCUCAGAUAAUAAUGAGCCAUGGCUGAAAAAAUUCAGCUGUCCCCUUCUCAAAAGCUUACUCAGUUGUGGAAGAAAAAUCUUUCAGUAAAACCUGAUAACAAGAGGAAGAGUUCUCCCACUCAGAGUUAAAGGUAGGAUAAUAUGGCUGGCUAUUUAUUUUUUGUUUGUAAGUUUAUGCCAAGAAAAAUAUUUGCAAAAUCUGUAUUUCCCCCAAAAGAAAUUAUUCAGUCAUUGAUGACAGUCAAUGCUCUCUCAUUUUAUCUUUUCAUAUCCAUGAGGUUUUUUUUCAACUGUAUUGUGCUAGGAGAACAUAGAUUCCAUGCCCUUCACCCUGAAAUAACGAUAGAUUAUAUCCUUUAAAAACAUUUUUCAUGAUGCCACUGGAUUUUAACCAAAAUAAGUUAAAUAUGAUUAUUAUUGUUGCUAUUAUCUGGCUGAAUAUACACAAGCCAAGAAAUAGGAAUAAUUAAAAUUAACCUCUCUCAGCCCAGACUCCACAGCCUGUUGUCAACUUAAAAACAAAUAAACAAUCUUCUAUAUUUUGUUAAAGAAUAAGCAAGAAGACAGCAAGAGAGAGUGUGGCAGAAUGAUAAUGAUAAUGGUAAUGAUUACAUGAUUCUUAUAAUAAACUACAUAAACAUCCAAUAUGCUACUAUGAUUUAGAGGCUUAGUUCCUGGUUAGUGGUUUUAUCUUCAAAGAAGACCAUAUUUAGGACUAAAACUGUAUUAAUACAAAUGUGUUAUCUGGUAAGGUUUUUUGUUUUGUCUUGUUUUGUUUUUUGCCUCUGAGAUUUAAACACGAUUUUGAAUCCAUUUAUUCACGUUCUGUAUAAACCAAUUCCCUCACUGUUAAGGGUAACAGAAAGGUGGCUUUUCCUUGAUUUCCCCAACAAUUCUUAUAAGGAACAUUUGUGUAUUAAGCAGACUUUAUUGAAAAUUUAGGAUGAUGAGGUAGGUUUAUGCUAUAGGAACAGAAAAAAUUUACAAAUGAAUAUCAGAUUUCCAUGUCACUAAAACCCUUUAGCGUAAUGCUAUUUGGAAUUACUUAUUUGCCUCAAGUUGCCAUGUUCCUGUCAUGAAAUCUUCCCACAUUGUGUGACCUCUUUCCCCAUUUUUUCUUCUCUUCCUUGAACUCCUGACACUCAAAAUAUAUGUUCAUUCCUUAAGCAUAUCAGUUUUUUUGUUGUCUCCAUUCAAACCACUUGCUCACUGACUACCUUCUAUUCUCAAACUCUUAACAAGAAAAGAAAACAAAACAAAGAAUUCAGUUUGAAGAUUUCUUGAUAGUAAAUGUAUAGAUAUAUAAGCAUAUAUUUUUCCACCUCAUCUGCCCCAGCUUUUUCAAAAAAAGGCUUCUUUCAAUUAAAUCAAGUACAGUAGUCUUUGUGAUUUAUAUUCUAUAUAUGUAAUUGGAAUUCUGACUUCACAUCAAAUAAUUUUAAUAUAUGGUGAUAUUAAGGAGGAAACAUGUAUCCAAUAUGAAAACCAAUAGUCAAAUAGUAAAUACAAUAUAACAUUAUUAAAAAUCUGAUCAGUACAUCUUUACACUUUAAUUGUACAAAUGUAUGAUGAGGCUAUUAAUAAUACACAUUGAUUCAUUUUUAUUAAACUUUGACAAAGAAUUAAUUGUGUCCUAGUAUAAUCAAUACCCUUAAACAGAACCAACUCAUAUAUGGUAUUGAUUUCUAGGGAGGGAAAAGUCAUUACGUUUUUGCUUAGGGGAAAAAGCUCAAUUAUCCACAACCUGAAUUUUAAAAAAAUAAUAAUUCACUUUUUUUCUAGAAAGAGACAUAGGGAAUUUCUAGUAAUAUUGAUUUAUAGAAAAUCUCAUACAAGGGCAUUUUUAGCGGGGAGAGACACUUUAAAAAUAAUCUUUGAUUUCUUUACAACAAUUAAGGGAAAGUACUGCCUGUACUAGGUGCUAAAUAAAUGUUAGGAAAUGGAAUACAUUGGAUCCUUUGGUUGCAUGGAAUAGAUAAUCUGGCCAAGCUAGCUAGGAUAACGGUCUAAAAACACCAAGACCAGGAUUCAGACUGGAAUAAUGUCAUGCAUGACAGAGUUUUGAUAACAAACUACUUUUCUAUCUUCCUCAAGGACAAAUUAUAUUGCCUCACAUGUGUUCUGUCUUUCUAAAACCAGCUUCCAUAUUCUUAUCAUACCUUUCUACGUAUAGUUUACAUAUGGCUUAGAUUUGCUACCAUCUCUCAAGCUCUAUAUUUUAUAGCAAUUUUGAUGGGUCCUGCUCUCUUCCACCUCUGCUUCCAACUGACUGAGUUUUCUAUUUUCUAAUUAAAAGUUUCUUCAAUAGUAAAUUGCCUUUUUUUGUUUUUGUUUUUGGCAAUUCAUGGGUCAAACAUCUUUGGCAGGACUAUGUAUAGAUGGAUUUUCUUGCAUUAGAUGCCUGUCUGAUCCCACCAGUUGAAACUGGAGGAGUAGAUCACAUGCUUUGUCAUAUUUCCCUUAAAAGAGAGUAUUGUCAGAACAGGCAGUAUGACAUCUGUCAGAAGAGCAAAUUACUAUGGCUUGAUCUCUGACCAAUAAAAGGGGUAUACUAUACAAAUCAGAAACCAAAGGGCAUUGCGUUGUUCAGAUUCUUAAACUGAACUAAAUAACCAUGGCUAUCUAACACAUAUGGAUGGCAUUCACAGAGUAGAAUUCUCUUCUUGUUCCCUCCCACCUCUUUUACACCUACUGUCAGUCACUGAAUCAAAUCAUCUCAAAUAAGUAGGUGCAGUGACACAGCAGAAGAGGGGCAUGUACAACAGGGACUGUGCUGGGGUUUGAGAGAUCAUCCAUCAGACUGCACAUGCAUAAUAAUUAGUUCAUUUUGAUAUGCCUGACAUCAUAACAACAUCUCCUGAGGAUACCAGAGGGGGAGUUUGGGGAAAAUUAAUAUGACCUUUAGUUGAUGCCUAGAGAAUACCUCCCCUUCUUUUUUUCUGUCAAUAGGAUAAAGGCUAUGUUAAUUACAUAUUUGUUCCCUCUCUGUGGAGUUUGCAUGACAGCUAGUCUGUAGUCUGUUCACAUGUAGAGAUCAGGAGGUCUACUAAGGAAAAUAACAGAGAGCAAUAUGCAGAGGAUAAGUUCAAGCUGAAAACACUAACUGUUAAGAGUGUGGAUAUCUGAAAUAUAUGUUUGUAUCAGUCAUAUAUUUGAUUUUCUUUCUCUGAGAUAAUGAAAUUCAAUUGGUCAGGUGGGGAGAGGGUCAGGGUAUAAUUAAUUCCAGAAAGGGCAGGUAAAGCAUGCAUAUUUGUUUUUCAUAUUCACACAAUAUACUCACAAUGCAGAUGGCUUGAAGAAGUAUUUAUUCCCCAAAAGGAUUAAUCUAUAUGCCACUUAGUAUAUGUCCUUUUAUCUACUAGCUAUCAAUAACUAAAAAAUAACCAUACAACAUACUCAAAUGAGCAAGCAAAACAGAUAUCUAUUAUCAUAAAAUAUAGAAAAUAAAUGCAAUAGUAGAGGAAAGAAAGUGUGUCUUAUUUGUACUGGAUAUGAAAACAACAACAAUACAAGAAACCAAGAAAUAAGAAAAAAAAGCUCUUUGUACUAAAGCUUGGGAUUCUCUCCCUAGGACUAUGCUCAACAUUUUCUUGUGAUGCUAAGGAUAGAAACAACCAGCUCUUGAACUUUGAAGUAAUUGGUUCACAGCUGUGCUUAUACUGAGUUGGAAAUAUGGAAAUAUAUUUGUACCGAGGAAGGUUUUUUUUUUUUUUUUUUUUUUUUUUUGGUAGUUGUAAUGAGAAAGUUGUCAAAUUAAGCCCAAACUGCUGUAAGUAAAAUAAAUUACAUGUGGAAAUUCAAUUUUUGAUAUUUGCAUUGCAUGGGUACAUGUGUUAUGAUAUUUCUAAAAAGAAUUCUUUUGUUAUUCAAAAGUUUAGUGUUCAGGAAGCAAAAGUGACCUAAUGUGAUUUUUAGAAAUUUUUGUAUCAGAAAAAUGUAAGACAUCACAGCAAUGUAACACUUCAGCAUUUAUUAAAUGCAGAAGUUCCUAGGGAGGCACACAAAAGGAGGCCACAUUUCUAGCUACCAAACUGUUUAAAACAUAUGUGCGAAGGCAAGAUUAUCACACCCGAAAGAGGGACAUUACACACAGAUAAUCAGAAGACAGAGAUCAGUGGGGCCUGAAAUAAAAAGAAAAGGCUUUGUUGGGAAGAUAGAAUGAGGGCUUAAAAUGGUGGAUACAGAGUUAACACAAAGACAGAGGGAAAGCAUUUUAGGGAUAUAUCAUAUAAAGUCCAUGCAGCAAAGAAUGUGAACACGUGUGUAAGAAGAGAAGAGGAUGAAGUAUAGACAAGGAGAGCUUGGCUUUCUAAGAGGACGGGUAAGAAACUGAACCAGGCAGAAACUGAGGUAUAGAUUGGACUGUGUUUAGUGAGAGCUACAAAGAGAGCUUUGAUUCUAUAUGACCUACUGGGAAACCAGGAGGUAUGUAUAAACUUCAAUAAUGCAAUCAUAAGUGGACAUGUGUUGGGGUGGGGCCAGAAGUUGUCAUAAAAAGGAAAACAACUCUAGCCUGGAAAUGUGACAGAGGUCUAGAAUGUGAUUCCAGCCAUCUAACUAAGAUGCUGUAUAAUCUUGAACAUAUCCCUUCGUUUCUUAGCUCACAGGCAAUUGAUAAAAACUUUCAACUCUAAUCUUUAUAUCUAUUUUAUUAUACAUUCAUAUGAUGUCCAAAACAAAAGAAAAACACUAAUUUAUUU